rnacentral:rRNA from 1 species
GGGGGCCCGCAAGCGGUGGAGCAUGUGGUUUAAUUCGAUGCAACGCGAAAAACCUUACCUGGUCUUGACAUCCAUAGAAUUUGAUAGAAAUAUCAAAGUGCCUUCGGGAACUAUGAGACAGGUGCUGCAUGGCUGUCGUCAGCUCGUGUUGUGAAAUGUUGGGUUAAGUCCCGCAACGAGCGCAACCCUUAUCCUUUGUUGCCAUCAGGUAAAGCUGGGAACUCAAAGGAGACUGCCGGUUAUAAACCGGAGGAAGGUGGGGACGACGUCAAGUCAUCAUGGCCCUUACGGCCAGGGCUACACACGUGCUACAAUGGUAUAUACAAAGAGAUGCAACUCUGCAAGGAUAAGCAAACCUCAUAAAGUGUAUCGUAGUCCGGACUGGAGUCUGCAACUCGACUCCACGAAGUCGGAAUCGCUAGUAAUCGUGGAUCAGAAUGCCACGGUGAAUACGUUCCCGGGGCCUUGUACACACC